UACGAAGGGGGCUAGCGUUGUUCGGAAUUACUGGGCGUAAAGGGCGUGUAGGCAGCUCACUAAGUCACGUGUGACAGCCCCGGGCUUAACCCGGGAAUUGCGCGUGAGACUGGUGAGCUAGAAUCCGGGAGAGGGUAGUGGAAUUCCCAGUGGAGAGGUGAAAGUCGUAGAUAGUGGGAAGAACACCAGUGGCGAAGGCGGCUACCUGGACCGGUAUUGACGCUAAGGCGCGAAAGCGUGGGGAGCAAACAGG
rnacentral:rRNA from 1 species